rnacentral:ncRNA from 1 species
CCUUUGCAAAACAUUUUUGGUGUUACAAAUCCGAUAUCCGGAGAUUGUAAUGAAAAGGGAAUAUCGGUGCGAAUCCGAAGCAGUACCCGCUGCUGUAAACUCAGUUAAAGUCUCCGAACCAGACUCAGAGCCACUAUUCGAAAAAGAAUGGGAAGGAUGUUCGGAAGACAGAGUAAGCCAGAAGACCUGCCAGACAUGAUAAGUUUGA